UCUCCUGGAAACGGGUGGUAAUGCCGGAUGCUCCAGUUGAUCGCAUGGUCUUCUGGGAAAGCUUUCGCGGUAUGGGAUGGGGUCGCGUCCUAUCAGCUUGACGGCGGGGUAACGGCCCACCGUGGCUUCGACGGGUAGCCGGCCUGAGAGGGCGACCGGCCACAUUGGGACUGAGAUACGGCCCAGACUCCUACGGGAGGCAGCAGUGGGGAAUAUUGCACAAUGGGCGCAAGCCUGAUGCAGCGACGCCGCGUGAGGGAUGGAGGCCUUCGGGUUGUAAACCUCUUUUAUCGGGGAGCAAGCGAGAGUGAGUUUACCCGUUGAAUAAGCACCGGCUAACUACGUGCCAGCAGCCGCGGUAAUACGUAGGGUGCAAGCGUUAUCCGGAAUUAUUGGGCGUAAAGGGCUCGUAGGCGGUUCGUCGCGUCCGGUGUGAAAGUCCAUCGCUUAACGGUGGAUCCGCGCCGGGUACGGGCGGGCUUGAGUGCGGUAGGGGAGACUGGAAUUCCCGGUGUAACGGUGGAAUGUGUAGAUAUCGGGAAA
rnacentral:rRNA from 1 species